GGAGAGUUCGAUCCUGGCUCAGGAUUAACGCUUGUGAUAUGCUUAACACAUGCAAGUUAAAUUUUUUUAUGGUAAAAAUUAUUUAAAAAUAAAUAAUAAUUUAGCGUACGGGUGAGUAAUAUAUAAGAAUUUACUUUUAUAAUUUAAUUAAUAUUAAAUAUAAUGUUGAAAAUCAAAAAAAAAUUUAUAAAAAUAAGCUUAUAUUUGAUUAGUUAGUUGGUAAAAUAAAAGUUUACCAAGACAAUGAUCAAUAGUUGAUCUUAUCGGAUAAUCAACCACACUGAGAUUGAGAUACAGCUCAGAUUCUUUUUUAGAAGCAGCAGUGGGGAAUUUUUCGCAAUAAGCAAAAGCUUGACGAAUCAAUAUCGCGUGAAGGAAAAAGGCUUUUUUUAGUCAUAAACUUCUUUUUUUUAAGAAAAAAAAUAUGAUUAUUAUUUUAAGAAUAAGCAUCGGCUAAUUCUGUGCCAGCAGCCGCGGUAAUACAGGAGAUGCUAGUGUUAUCCAAAAUUAUUGGGCAUAAAAAGUUUUUAGAUUAUUUUUAUAAUUUAUUAUAAAAUUAUAAGAUUUAAUCUUAUAUAAUUAAUAAAAAUUAAAUUAUUAGAGUUUUUAAUUUAAGGGUAGAAGGAAUUUUUAGUGUAACAGUUAAAUGUGUUGAUAUUAAAAAGAACACCAAAGGCAAAAGCAUUCUACUUAAAAUAUACUGACUUUUAUAAACGAAAGCUAUAGUAGCAAACGGGAUUAGAUACCCCAUUAGUUUUAGCUGUAAAUUAUGAAUAUUAAAAAAAAUAUUAUUAUUUUUUUAUAGUAAAUACGUUAAAUAUUCUGCCUGAAAAUUAUAUUUGCAAAAAUUAAAUUCAAAGGAAUUGACGGGGACUUACAAAAGUGAUGGAGCAUGUGGUUUAAUUCGAUGCAAAACGAAAAAUCUUACCAAAAUUAUUAUAAAAAAUAAUAUAUUAAUAUAUAAUAAAUAAAAUAUUAUUUAUUAUAUAUUAAGGUGGUGCAUGGCUGUCAAAAGUUCGUGUCGUAAGAUGUUAAAAAAAAUUUAUAACGAACAAAACCCUAAUAUUUUAUUGUUAUAAUUUAUAAUAUUUUUUUAUAUUUUUAUAGUACUUUUAAUAAAAAAAAAGGAUUACGUCAAGUCAUCAUGCCCCUUUAUAUUUUGGGCUACACACAUGCUACAAUGGAUAAAUAACAAAAAAUUUAAAUUUAAUAAUAAUAAAUAAUUUAUUAAAUAUAAAAUUAUCCAAAAUUCGAAUUAUAAAUUGUAAAUCAUUUAUAUGAAGUUGGAAUCACUAGUAAUCACAGGUAAGAUAUACUGUGGUGAAUAUAAUUAUAAGUCUCGUACAUACCGCCCGUCACAUUUUGGAAAUUUUUUUAAUAAAAAUUUUAAAAUUAAAAUUAAAAAAUAAAUAAUAACUAAAAUGAAGUCGUAACAAGGUAGUUGUACUGGAAAGUGUGGCUAGAAUACCUCCAUUUUUUUAUUUUUUUUAAAAAAUUAAAUUAUUAUUAUAUUAUUAAUAUUAAAAUUCAAUAAAAAAGCUUAUAAUAAAAACUUAGAUAUUUUAAAUACUAAGAAGGACACAAAAAAAAAUAAAAUGUGAAUUUUUUAGUUAGUUUAUUAAAAAUAUAAAAUAUAUAACAUAAAUCUAAAAAUUUCCAAAUAAGUUAACUUUUUUUAUUAAAUUAAAAAUAUAAUUUAGAAAACUUGUUUAAUUGAAAUAUCUUAGUAUACAAAGAAAAAAAAAAGCAAAAGCGAUUUCUUUAGUAGUUAUGAACAAAAAAGAAAAAAGUCUAAAAAAAAAUUUAUAUUAAAUUUUUAAUUUUUUAGGGAAAAAAUAUAAAAUUUAAUAAUAAUAAUAAAUAAAUAAUAAAAUAUUAUACCUUAGAUGGUUAUAGUCCAGUAAUUUUAUUAUUAUUAAAUUUUAAUAAAAAAAUAAAUCCCAAGUAAUAUAAUAAAAUUUUAUAUUAUAUUAAUUUAACAAGGACCACCUUGUAAGACUAAAUAUUAAAAAAUAAUCUAUAGUGUAUUUUAGUACCGUGAGGGAAAGUUGAAAAAGAAUUAUAAGUGAAAAAGAAAGAAUAAAAUUAUAAGUUAACAAACUAUAGAAAAUAAAUUAAUAUUUAAUAAUUUAUUAACUAUGUGCUUGUUGAAGAAUGAACCAGCGACUUUUUAAUAUUGGUUUUUUUAUUUAUUAAAAAUUAUAAUAGAUUAAAUAUAUUAUAAUAUAAUUUAUAAUAUUUAAAAUAUGAAAUCAUAGUGAAAACAAUUAAUAAAAUAAUAAAUAUUUUUAAAAUAAAAUCAAUAUUUAUAAACCCGAAUCUAAGUGAUC
rnacentral:rRNA from 1 species